GGCCCUUCGGGGUGCUGACGAGUGGCGGACGGGUGAGUAAUGCUUAGGAAUCUGCCUAGUUGUGGGGGAUAACCCGGGGAAACUCGGGCUAAUACCGCAUACGCCCUACGGGGGAAAGCGGGGGACUUUCGGGCCUCGCGCUAUUAGAUGAGCCUAAGUCCGAUUAGCUAGUUGGUAGGGUAAUGGCCCACCAAGGCGACGAUCGGUAGCUGGUCUGAGAGGACGACCAGCCACACUGGGACUGAGACACGGCCCAGACUCCUACGGGAGGCAGCAGUGGGGAAUAUUGGACAAUGGGCGCAAGCCUGAUCCAGCGAUGCCGCGUGUGUGAAGAAGGCCUGCGGGUUGUAAAGCACUUUCAGUAGGGAAGAAAAGCCGAGUGCUAAUAUCACUCGGUCUUGACGUUACUUACAGAAGAAGCACCGGCUAACUCCGUGCCAGCAGCCGCGGUAAUACGGAGGGUGCGAGCGUUAAUCGGAAUUACUGGGCGUAAAGGGCGCGUAGGCGGUUUGGUAAGUCGGGUGUGAAAGCCCCGGGCUCAACCUGGGAAUUGCAUUCGAUACUGCCUGGCUAGAGUAUGGUAGAGGGAAGCGGAAUUCCGGGUGUAGCGGUGAAAUGCGUAGAUAUCCGGAGGAACACCAGUGGCGAAGGCGGCUUCCUGGACCAAUACUGACGCUGAGGCGCGAAAGCGUGGGG
rnacentral:rRNA from 1 species